rnacentral:rRNA from 1 species
AUAUUUAUAUAGUAGAAAUAUUUUGAUUUAAAAGUUCUUUAUGUUAUUUAGUAAAAUAAACAGUAAUAGAAGAUAAAUUUAAACGUUUUGUUAUACAAAAAUAGGUUUUUAAUGAGUUCUGGCGAAGCCUGUGCCAGCCGCCGCGGUUAUGCAGGCAGGUUAAAAAAUAUAAGUUCAAUUGAAAAAAUUAGUUUGUAUAUUAAAUUGAAAAAUUAGGUGAAAUUUUCUUUUUGAUUAAGGAGAAGUGUUUUUAAAAAAUUGUAUAAAUAGACUAGGAUUAGAUACCCUAUUAUUAUUUAAUGUAAGGUUGGUAGUAAAUAAAAAUUAUUAAAUCUAAAGAUUUUGGCGGUAUUUUAAGCUUUUUAGAGGAAUUUAUUCUAUAAUUGAUAAAACGCAAAUAUCUUACUUAAUUUUGUUAAGCAGUUUGUAUAUCGCUAUCAUGAAAUAAUAUUAAUUAAUAAUAAUUAUGAUGGGAGUUACCAAUAAUGUUAGGUCAAAAUGCAGCAUAAGAUUAAGUGUGAAAUAGAUUACAAUAAUUUUUAUUUAUUAAUUUGAAAUAUUAUUUUUAGGAUUUAAUAGUAAGGGAGAAUUAUAAAGUUUUUUUGAAUUGAGCGCUAAAAUAUGCACAUAUCGCCCGUCAUUCUUUUUUAUUAAGACAAGUCGUAACAAAGUAAAGGUACUGGAAGGUGUCUUUA